rnacentral:rRNA from 1 species
GAAUUACUGGGCGUAAAGCGUGCGUAGGUGGUUAUUUAAGUCCGUUGUGAAAGCCCUGGGCUCAACCUGGGAACUGCAGUGGAUACUGGAUGACUAGAAUGUGGUAGAGGGUAGCGGAAUUCCUGGUGUAGCAGUGAAAUGCGUAGAGAUCAGGAGGAACAUCCAUGGCGAAGGCAGCUACCUGGACCAACAUUGACACUGAGGCACGAAAGCGUGGGGAGCAAAC